rnacentral:lncRNA from 1 species
UCAGUAGGGGGAGCUCUGAUUAUUUUGGUUUUACAUUUUGUUUAGUAUAAAGUCUCUAGCUUGAACCAUCAAAGGUUUUAGUGUAUUUGACUCAAAGAUAAACUUAAACCAUCACAGUUUGGGCAAAGUGGUUGAUUUUGUAUUGUUUAAUAUAUUUACUGCUGAAUUAUUUCACUCUUACGUGGAUUUAUAAAGGUUCAUGAAGGUUUGGGGUUGGAUCGAAGACUCAGCUUUGAUUGACAUGCAGCCGUGAGGGCAGUUAAAUCAAUGUUUUAAAUAACUGUUUCAAUAACACAGCUGAAGUCUUUGACGAACAGUUUAUUUGCAAUGAAUGAGCACAUAGCGGUAUAGAUCACGGGAUGAAAGACAGAUCUAGAGACAGAUUCAUCAUUGAUUGCUUAGAAUUUAACCUUGGCGUAGUGGAAAAGUCUUUAAACCAUCCAGACAAGGCUGAAAAAAGCAGCAGUGGUGAUCAAAAAAACAAAAUGCCAUAUAAACUCAGGUCGAGGCUUUCCUACAGAGAGCUAAUUUUAAAGAAACCCACAUAUCAAUUGUGAGAUAAAUACGCUUACUUAAAGGGCUAUAUAUCCAACGUUUCAGCUGGGAAGUCUGAAAAUUACAGCCUCACUCUAAAAAACUGUUAAUGGGUACCCAAGGCUAAAUAACUUCACUGAGUGCUUCAGUGAAAAGAGUGAAAGCCUGAAUGUCUUCAGUCAAAGUAUUCAAAAAGUCAAGGGUUCAUUGUUCGGAAAGUUGUCUUGCGAAAUGAAAUUGCUGAAUUAAAGUGAAUUUGGAGGUUUAAAUGUACCAUCCAAACGCCUUCUGAAAGGAAGUAAGAUACAUAUUUUUGCAAUGCGCAGCCUUCUCAAGGUUGAUGAAAAAUCAGAGAUGUGAAAAUAGUAAUCAGAGGGAAGAUGAAAAGAAGCAAAGGAGCCCUCGUGCAAGAACCUCGGAGGGGCUGGAGACAUUGCAAUUAUAGAAACUAUUGACUUGUGUUUCCCAAGGUAUGAUCAAUUGCAGCGAAAUAAUGACAUCUCUGUGUUGUUUUGACCCAUUCACAGUGAAGGCAAUUUAUUUUGUGUGACAGGAGGCUUGCUGGGGACAAACUGGCUGAUGUGUGCCAGAGAUCAGGGAGAGGGGAGGUUUCAGCAGCAGCAGAAGAAGGUCAUUUCUGUGUACAUCAACCUCUUUUAGGAUGUGCCCUCCAAUGUUUUUCUUUCAAAUGUUUUUCUGUCUUUAGGAGAGAAAGUGUCUGUUGAUCCUCUGCGAAGGUAACGGGAAAUAACCUAGAUGUACUCCAGCAUUCCUUCCCUGAAUAAAUGUCUAUUAUUAACUGAGCACUAUUAUUAAAAGGGUGUAACAGACCUCGCUCAGGCAGAUAAAUAUAUAACCACGGAUAGCUUUUAAAUAACUUCUCUGCAAAUUUCUACUGAAAUAAACAGGAUUAUUUUACUUAGAAUUUUCCCAUUUCCUUUGGAGUGAGAAGAAAAGACUGAGUCCAGAAAACAAACAUUAAACUCUUAGAUGUUUAAUGGCAUUUUAAACUGAAAACAAACCUUUCUGCCUUUUACUUCAUGACAGAAGUCAUGAAGUAAACUUCAUGACUUAACAGAAAGUCACUUAACAGAAAUUUAAAAUGAUAACUUGGAUUUAAACUUUUAUGUCAUGAUGUUACUAUUAAAUGUAUAACUGAAUGUAAAAUUGCAUGUUUUAUAUAUGAUACCAUGUGGUACAUGUUGGUUUUUCCCCAACAUAGAGCUUUGUAAAAUCUUUAUUUGUAUCCUGCUACAUUUUUCCUUCCUUUCCUCAUAAACCAAAAAAAUAAAGACAUGAAAAACAUUUUCUACAGUGUGUAUCUGCUGUUGUUGUUUUCUAACGGUGAAAUAAUGUUUUGGAUAUUUGAUUAAAAUGGUUUUGCAUACUAAAAACAUUUUUUUUUUAAUUAUUAAAGCAAUCAAACUAACCAAUAUCUUUAUGUAUUGUUCUUAAAAUAAAGUAAAAAGAUUAAAAUUUUUAAAGUUUGAUUUUUUUCUGUGAAGAACGUGAAGGGUAUCUUAUAAUUUCCCUUUUUAGAAAUCAUCAUACUUAAAAAUUAUUUAUAAAAACACGGUAUAUUCAUUUAAGUAAUCUUGCAAAAUGGCCGCCAUGCGCGGACGUCGGUCUCCAUUAGCUAACAGCGUGCGUAAGCCAAAUGUUUAUAUAUGUAUGGUCAUCACAGCGACUCUCGGCGACUCUCCCGCCGAACGCGCACAACGCUACUGCGCAAUGUUGCUUUCAGGAAGUGGAGAAAAAACGCGGAAUUACCGGGAGCUUUUUUCGGCUUCAAAUCCGUAUAAUGGCGGAAGGAGGAACCAAGUUGUCCAGAGUUUAUACAGUCUAUGUUCGUCACCUGCUGCUGAACUCUGAAAAAUCACUCUGGUCACUCGGUUUGUAAGUUUUCGUCUCGUCUGGAAUCAGAUGUGGAAGAAUAUUCCCUUUCCUCCGCUCUCGGAUUAACGAACUUCGACUCCAUUCCGACCAUCCGGACCCGGUACCUGGCAGAACCUUCCAGACUCCACCGAGGAGCUCGUCUCAACAUCAAGCUAAGUCCUGCUGCUCGCUUCUUUUCAUGCUCGUUUUGACUUUAUUCUGGCUGCUUGUGUUGCAGAUUAAUGUUGUUUUACUGCUUUGCUGAUGUUUCUGUGGUUUAUGUCGGGAUGUCUGCUGCACGGCUGUGAUUUUAUGAUGUUUUGCUGCGGUUCAAACAUCUGUGAGCUUCAUAUUUUCUUCCAUAUUUAUGUAAAUUAAGAGCUCUGUCUUUGCCUGUUCAUCAUCUGCUCUUUUAUUCUGCGUGUGAAGUGAUAAUAGGAGCUGAUUUGGUGCUUAGAAAUAUAUCUAUUAUACUGAAAAAAUGAAAAAGUUCGGCUUUUGAUGGCAUGAGAAGGCUCGAAUUGUUUGUAUUUAUUUAUUUUUUGCUGUCUUUGGCCCUCUUCUUAUUGACUUUGACUCUGGUAUUUACCUCUGGUGUGGAGAGAACUGGGCCUUUUAGUAAAGGGUAGUGUUGUGUACAUUUGGGUUGUAAACAGAAGUGACCUGUGCUGCUCGCUGCCAAUUUAUAUUGUAUUGUCAGAGUUUUACAGGCUAAGAAAGGAAAAGAACAUUAAUAUAUCACUUAUACCUUUGCACAACAAUAGAGCUUGAUUUUAAAAAUGUAAUUUCACAGCAUGCUAUGAAUUUUUAUCAAGUAGUUUUUGAAGUACAUCCACACAUUUGCACUGCAACUCUUUGGCUUCUACAUGUACACUCAUGGACAUGCUGCUGUCAAAUCUGUGCAGCAUUUUGCCUUUUUUUGCUUCAAGUGUACACAUACUAGAGUGAUUAUUGUUGCAGAGGACAUAAUACGUUUAUUCAUGGUAUUUGAGUCACUUUAAACUGAUUAUUUUUCAACUGCCAGUUUUAAAGAAUCUGUACUAAAAACUAAAAAAUAAAUAGAUAAAUACUAAAUAAGACGUUAAAUAGCUUUUCUUCCCAACAAUAACAUCUUUGGAGGAUGACUCAAAGUCAUGGCUGACAUCUAUUUUACUGCCCUCAGCUCCGCCUUCGGUUACUCUGUUUAAUUGUCCAGCCACUUACAGAAGUGAGCAGGAAAAGCUCGACUCUGAUUGGCUGUUGUGAUGCACAGUUUCGUCAAGUUUGAUUGAGUAAAUAUACUCACUGCUGAUCACUGUGAUCGAACUGAAAUUUAUCAUGAUAAUUAAUCCCGAUCAUAUAAUCGCUCAGUCCUACGCCUAAGUUGAAAAAGUAAGAAGCACACACAGAACUUUAGGGGCAAAAUUGAUCAAACAAUGUGUGUCUUAUUGGUCGACAUGAGUACUGUUAUUUAAAAUUAAUUUUAGGUCUUUAGGUCACAUGACAUUAAAGCUAUUGAAGGAAAACAGCCUGUUUGAGAACAUCAACCGGUAAUUUAUUGACGGUCCCUUAUUCAACACCUGACGUUGACAGCGAGGGCGCCGAGUAGAUUUAACCGCGCUGCUGUUGUUAUUCCCGGUCGUGGAGAGUGAGAAGACGCCGGUAGAUCCUCAGUGAAUGUCCGUCGGAUAUCCAACCUAAAACUAACUUCACCGCCGUAUUUACAGGAAAAAACAUUUACUGCCUCGGCUGAUUUUUUAUGUAUAUUUUACAAUUCGCACGCAUCUAUUUUUAGUCGCAGAGAGAAACGGUCGCACUGUCAAACCCUGCUGAAAUGUCAUAUUUACAUUACGUAGGUGGGUUUGUAACCAGUGAGCACUCCAUCACUUGGCCUCGGGUUGGAUGGAUACAUAAGGCAUCGGUUUUAUAAGCAGCCUGUUGAGAUGUGAAGACAUCUGCAGGCCUCUGUCUCACACAGUUGAUGGUGCGCAUCAAUAUUUGAGACGAGUGUCACGUAGAGAAAGUUUGAUUGAGUCCCUGCUCUUCAUGGACUCGCUCUAAAGUGUGUCUUUCAUGUCAGGAAAUUCUCUUUCCAUGGGGCUCUCACUAGUCAUUAAACUACAGUGUCAAAAUUAAUGUAGUAAUGAUUUAUUGAUGGUCAAAUGCCAUAUAAGUCUUUUAAUCAAAGCUCAAAUGUUUAGCAUAUAAAUGGGGCUUUCUUCAUGGAUUUAGAAGUGAAUGUCUGGUUGAGCGCGGCAGAUCGAAGCGAUCAUUGCAUACUUUGGUGCUUUCCACCAAAAACGCUCUUUGAAAAUGAACUCCUCUUUGCACUCACACAUCUGUAUUUCGCUGUGACACAGACAAAUGGGACGGCGAGGACAGUAGGAAAAGUACUCCAAUUCCUCUCGCCUCCUCACAGAAAACGAUCCAUCAGGCUCCCAGCGACCCCUCAGACUCAGCGUCUGCUUUGUCUGCAAAUCGCUGAAAUCCCAAUCCCAAAUCCACUCACACAUCCAUCCUGACUUUAUUGCUGCUCGCUCCCAUGACUGGGAGGACACUUCUUAGGUCCACUAAUCUGUAAUCUGUCUACUGGAGGAGCUUGGAGAUAAACUAAGACUAACUAGUGACUGCUAGUUUGGCAGCUCCACCCAUCAUCUGCAACCAGCUAGAUGACUCGACUCUUGAGAUAAAUAGUGAUCCUGCAGUUCUCUCUCUGUCCAUGUGGAAUGUGGGGUGUAUUGUAAAAUCAGAACAUUAAUCUAACUCACUUUCUUUUCCAAACUUGACUUAAAAAGUGAAUUAAAUCAGUUCAUGUGUUCACCUUUUAACUUUACCUCCUCUAAGAUGUCAUUUCCCUGCUGUUCACCACAGUCUAACAGAUGACACAGAUGUUUCUGACAUAUGUGGUCAUGACUUUCAACACAGCUAAACUGCUAGACUGAAAAGUCAAACACAUUCGCAGUACGAAGGGUUGCGGCACCUAAAGGCUUCAAACAGAUGGUCUGAGUUCUCAGCCUAACCUA